UCAAGCUGUAAUAUUGAUUUUAAGCUGAACUGCGGAGCAGACUUUUAUUUUGAAAUCGCGCGAGUUUUCAGUGUCAGCGCGGGCUUCUCUCUCCUCAGUUCGCGCUAAAUACUGCUGAGGAGAGGUGGGUGUUUACUGUGCUCCUGAUGAAAUACUGUUUUAAAACUGUUCAAGCACUUAUAGUGCACUAAAUCUGUACUCUUACAUGUGUUUUAGUACUAAGAGUAAGUUAUCUCUGGUUGUGUGGGUAGUUCGUUUGUGUAGAGAGUUUUUUUUAUAUAAGUACAGCAGAUUUAGUGGAGUUAAGGGAGAUACUGCUACCAGUUAAGCUAAUAUGGUGUGCUUUUCUUCUCACAGCUGCAUGUGUGUGUGUGAGAAGGACCAGAAUUCACUCUAUGCUGUGUUGUAUGCUACUCUCAUGCACAGGUACUGCCACAGGUUAAUUGGUUAAUUGUUUAAUUAAUUUAGCUAAUUGUUUAAUUGCAUCAGCUGUUUAUUUUUAUUGGAAUUUGUUUUGUUAUAAUGAAAUUAAUGUUCAGAAGGAAAAAAUAUACGUCAUUUAUGGGAGUCUCUAUAUAUAUGUGCAUGGGGUAAUGUAUUAUGGUAAUGUAUAAUAUUGUAUUUUAUUUCAUAGCUAUAGAUAUAUUCUUAAUGUUUAUUUUCAUAACAUAGUACUCUAUAUUUGUGAUACAAUAUUUUAUGAUGUCUAUUUUAUUGUGUGUUUUAUCAACUUGAUGUAGAGGGAAAAAAGUGUAGCUGAGUUCGCGCUAAAUACUGCUGAGGAGAGCUGCAUGUGUGUGUGUGUGAGAAGGACCAGAAUUCACUCUAUGCUGUGUUGUAUGCUACUCUCAUGCACAGGAAAUAGAGAGAAUAAAACUCCCGUUUCCAUCAGCGCAUUCACAACGCAGAGGGUGGCCAAGCCUACUAGGAGAGAGAGAGAGAGAGAGAGAGGGGGACACACACACACACAGUCAAAGUUGAGCCGGCUACACUAGCAGAGCUGGUUCAGUUAAACCUCAGCUGCUACACACCUUAAAAAGCCUCAGCAUGUCUCAAAAAGCUCAGUGAAGCAGGAAUAUAACAAGAGUGAAUACUGGCAGUGAGUUCGCACGGUGGAGACUUAGAGCUCAAAAAGACUACAAGAACGACCCAGAGCUGCUACUUUUCUCCUGAACAGAAGACGAGCCAGCGUUGCGGGCGAGCGUGCCGUGGCUGAGCGCUAGCCUGUGCUAAGCUAACGCUGCUGCUGGUGCCGCUGGAGGUGGUGAUUCAAAGCUGUACUGUGUAUAUACGCCUCUACUCGGCAACACUUCGGCGGAGUGAUACAAGUUUAGUGAAAAAAGGCCGUGAUGUUAUCACAAAUAUCAGCACGGCUAGAACACUUCUCUACCAAUCAGAUUGUGAGGUCGGAACUAACUGUUGUAUAAAGUGGAGUAACUCAGUAACUUACGGAUAGAGAUAUUUUGGUGGGGUUUGAGCAUUAUUGUAUGCUUCUUGUCUCUCUCCUCUUGUGUGUUUUUUUUUAAUGACAGGUCAUUGGAGUGAGGGCCGUCUUUGUGUGACGUGGCUGUUGUUGAUUGGUAGAGGAGAAACUUCCCACGGCUACAAAACCUGACUGUUUCGGCUGCGCAGCCAGACAAACCGCCAACAGUGUUUGCUUGUGUAUACCAUGUGGUUGUAAGAUCCUUCCUUGUUAUAUUUAAUCCAACUCUCUUAUUAUCAUUGUAUUUUUAUAUCACUUUAAAGCAAGCCUGAUUAGCAGUGUAGGGGAUAAGUCCCUGUUUAUUUGAUUACUUUUCUCCUGUUUUUGGAGGCGGGGCGGGGGAAAAAGGGGUGGCCAUAUGUCCGGUGGAGUAUACCCAGCCGUGACAGUAACUCAGUUACUUUUUUGGAGAAGUAACUAUAACUAAUUACUUUUUCAUAGUAACCUGCCCGACACUGAAGAUGGCUAAUGUAAGUAACUCAUGCAAAUCAUGUGAAAGAGGAGGUUUUGGAGAUAUUUGUCAUGUCUGAUUCUGGUGACAUGACAAUGUCAUGUCUGAUUCUGGUGAAAAAACUCCAAAUGGUUUUAGCAGAGGUUAGAAAAGAAUUACUGAUCACAAUAAAUACCAGUAUGACCUGUAAUGUUUCAUUAACCUCUUUUAUAUUUCUAUUAAAGUUAUUCCCCCUG